ensembl:lncRNA
GAAGAGGCUGUGAAGACACGGGAUGAGACGGCGUGGAUGUCAGUCGGCCUGGAACGGCCCCCCACACACACACACACACAGCGCCCUCAGAGCAGCCAGCCCUGCCAACACCCUGAUCCUGGGCUUCCAGCCUCCAGAGCCGGGAGACAGCACAUUUCUGAGUUUAAGCCACCCCGUCUGCAUUACCACAAUCUUAGGAAACUAAUUCACUGCUUUCCUCUGAAAGGGGAGCGAGAGAAACCACGUCUUGGUUUUACGGUUUCCAAGCGUGCUCACUCUCAUGUCCAUGUCGGAUCCUCACGUCACCUGACUCCUUAGGCCCAACAGGUGCUCCUCGGCCCAUCUGAUGGAUGAGGAGUCUGAGGCCAGGAGGCAGGGGGCUUCCCAAAAAGCCUGCACCAAAGUUAACCACCAAGCUGCAAGUACAACCCAGGCCUCCUCACCAACACCCAAAGGGCUUCCCUACAUCAAGACAAACAUCUAAGUUUAUACAGAAUUCUGGGAGGCUGCAGGGUUGAGGGGCAGGGAGCACCUCCCUUCACCUGGCCCUCCGGCCUGCACUCACUCUCUGUGGCAUCACCCAGGCAGCCUUUAAUCACCAUGAUGCCCGGACACCACCCCAGACCAAGCGAAUCAGAACCCAGGGGGUGGGGUUCAGGCAGUGAUAGCUUUUACAGCACAGUAACAGGAUUCUCAUGUGCAGCUGGGGUGGAGAAGCCCAGCCAGAGGGUUCCAAGGUCAGGUGCAAGCGCCCAGAACCCCAGGGAAAAGAGGAACCUGCACACCCCACGUGGCAGCACUGGAUUCCCCAAGACUCUACUAGGGACUGGAGCUUGGAGGCCUAGAUGAUGCGGUCCCAAGAGGCCAAACCGCGCCAGACUCCCACUCACCCCAUCUGAUGUGAGCAUUAGAAGUCUGGAGGACGGCUCCCCUGGAGGGCAGGAUUCUGGCCCCAGGGCAAUGACAGAAACCCUGAAGGGAGGUCCACAACAUUCCCCAAAGCGCCUUGCCCUCCGUGCAAUGUUCUCAACCACUCUUCUCCAGGAGCAAACUCAACCCCUCACCUAAAUCCUGCUGGCCCAGCACUCCCCGCUCCAGGACACCUGCUCUGGGCCCUCCGUCUCCCACCCCCGCCCCCCAGGCUUACGGUUAUCUCCAGAG